GCGAGGUCAGACGUUUCUGCAGACGGACGCAGAGAGCGGAGAGGCGCCGGAGCAAACGGACAGCGCUGAGGGUAAUGUGUCAUUUGCUGUGAUUAAAAAAGGGAAAAAAAAAAUUGCACCUUGUGCCCUUUUCCAUACUUGAUAUCCAUCCCAGUACAAGAGCCUAUCUACCUCCAAAAGCUGCAUUACCAUGAGGACCACCUGCCUCCUCCUCCUCCUCCUCUUCAUUCCCGUCCUUCUGUUUGCUCAGCAACAAGAAUUAACGGAUGACUUUUACGCUGGUCAGUACUUCCGCUUGGGUAAGUGGUCGUCGGGAACCCCUGCCAAUGUGUGCAUAACUGUGCUGCUGUCCUGUAUGCAGCUCAGAAUUUUUGCGUAUGUGCUUUUGUCAGGUGAUAUUGUGAUGUGGAAUCCGCACUGUGUGUUAAGUCGUAACAAAUUGUGUGAAUCUCGGAUUCAUUGGGAACGUGGCCGACUGUAUAUUUUAUUGAUCGGAAGUGUAUUUAGAUAAGGAUAUGGUACAAGUCAUCUUCUGAAGGUGUCUUCACAAGUAACCUUACUCUUUGGCUACGCACGUGUGUGUUCUGUUCCCCCGUUGCAUCCGUUUCAGUAUGUACUUGCCCAUUUUUACCUGUCUGCAUCUGUUAUUCCUAUUCAUGCCAUGUCUGAUCCUUGAAUUCCUUCAUUUCCAGAGGAGUAUGGCUCAGAAUAUGACUUUCCUGGUAAGGCUGAAUUGAGUAUAUAUAUGUGUGUGUGUGUGUGUGUGUGUGUGUGUGUGUGUGGAGGCCCGAUGGUUGAGAAAGGAGCUUUGCGGUUGCGUAAGAAGAGCUUCCAAAACCAUGAUAAUUUCC
rnacentral:lncRNA from 1 species